rnacentral:miRNA from 1 species
UCUGGAAGAGCAGUCAAUGCUCUUAACUUCUGAGCCAUCUCUCCAGCUCCCGUAAAUCUUUAUAAAAACAAAUGCAAACAGGGCUGGAGAGAUGGCUCAGAGGUUAAGAGCACUGGCUACUCUUUCAGAGGUC